rnacentral:misc_RNA from 1 species
GAUGAAGAACGCAGCGAAAUGCGAUAAGUAAUGUGAAUUGCAGAAUUCUGUGAAUCAUCGAAUCUUUGAACGCACAUUGCGCCCCCCAGUAUUCUGGCGGGCAUGCCUGUUCGAGCGUCAUUUCAACCAUCAAGCCCUGCUUGUGUUGGGGUCCUGCGGCUGCCCGCAGGCCCUGAAAACCAGUGGCGGGCUCGCUAGUCACACCGAGCGCAGUAGCACAUCUCGCUCAGGGCGUGCGGCGGGCUCCAGCCGUUAAAGCACCCACCUUUCGCAAGGUUGACCUCGGAUCAGGUAGGAAUACCCGCUGAACUUAAGCAUAUCAAUAAGCGGAGGA